UAAAACGACCGCCUGUUUAUCAAAAACAUGGUAUUUUGUUUUUAUUUAAUAUCAAGCCUGCCCACUGAUGUAUUAAAGGGCCGCGGUAUACUGACCGUGCAAAGGUAGCAUAAUCAUUAGUUUUUUAAUUGAAAUCUGGAAUGAAGGGUUUAACGGAAUAUUAACUGUCUCAAAUUAAUAUAUUGAAUUUAACUUUUUAGUUAAAAGGCUUAAAUAAUAGUAAAGGACGAGAAGACCCUAUAGAUCUUUAUAAUAAUUUUUUUAUUAGUUGUUUGGAUUAUAUUUGAUUAUUAUAUAAAUUAAUUGUUUUACUGGGGCGGUAUAAAGAAAAUUUUAACUCUUUAUUAAGUAUAUAUUGAUUGUUAGAUAAUUGAAUCAUUAUUAAUGAUUUUAGAUAAAGUUACCUUAGGGAUAACAGCGUUAUUUAUUUGGAGAGUUCAUAUUGAUAAAUAAGUUUGCGACCUCGAUGUUGAAUUAAGAAUUCAAUAGGAUGAAGAAGUUCUAUAUGAAAGUCUGUUCGAC
rnacentral:rRNA from 1 species